CUUUCACACUGGCUCUUGCUGGCUCUUGUAGAUGUCGUGCUUUUUCUGAGUUGGGAGCUCAUGGCAUCGUGCUUGGCAUUUUGGCAGUUUGGCAUUUGCAGAUUGCUGGUGAGGUGACUGGGAGAAGCUCUUAGAGUGCUUGCAAAUAAAGAUAUAAUGAAAGCCGAAGAACUGUGAAGUAAGUUCACUGAUAACUCCAAGGAAUAUAAUUUUGCAUGCUAAAGAAAAGGCCACUUGAUGGCACAUUGGAUAAAAUGCCAGGAAUGGAAAUAAGAAGACAUCUUCCUGAAUUCAAAUCUGGUCUCAGACACUUAAGCUGUGUGAUCCUGAACAAGUCACUUAAUUCUACUUCAUGAUAUUUACACCAUGAUCUUUACCAAGAAAAUCUCAAAUGGGAUCAUGAAGACUCAAACAUUACUGAAAUAACUAAACAGCAUAUUCCUUCUUUUCAAGUGUUUUGUUGUAUACCCCCCAGUUAGUACUGUUUACUUCAUUAUCUACUGAUCUUCAUACUAGUAAUUCAAACAUGCUAGCAUUACUAGAGAUCAUGGAUUUAUUCAAGUGAAUGUUUUCCUAAAAUAUACCAUUCCAUUUCACUGUGGUUUCUUUUUACUUUCUUAAAAAUUACAUAAUUUUCUUAUGAUAGUCCAGUGAUAUUUUGCUUGCUCCACAUUCUCCUAUUUUACCUUAAAUUCCUGAACACUUUUCACCUUAAUUUCCCACAAAGGUCUGCCCAUAGUCCUCUUUUCUCCAUUGUUUAAGUCAUCUAAUCCAUUGCUUUAAAUAUCCGUUUAUGUAAGUUGACCCCCUGAGCCAUCACCAUGUGAUUCCAUCUCUUUUCUUUAUUAAAAUUUAUUUUGAUAUUUUCCUUUACA
rnacentral:lncRNA from 1 species